UACAGAGGGGGCAAGCGUUAUUCGGAAUUAUUGGGCGUAAAGGGCGCGUAGGCGGCUUGGCAAGUGGAAGGUGAAAUCCCUCGGCUUAACCGAGGAACUGCCUUCCAGACUGCUUUGCUUGAGGCCGGGAGAGGUGAGUGGAAUUCCUGGUGUAGCGGUGAAAUGCGUAGAUAUCAGGAGGAACACCUGUGGCGAAAGCGGCUCACUGGACCACAACUGACGCUGAGGCGCGAAAGCUAGGGGAGCAAACAGG
rnacentral:rRNA from 1 species